CAUAGCUCAGUGCUAGAGCAUUUGCUGCGCAUGCAAAAGGUCCCAGUUUCAAUCCCUGGAAAAAGA